rnacentral:rRNA from 1 species
GAUCAUGGCUCAGAUUGAACGCUGGCGGCAUGCCUUACACAUGCAAGUCGAACGGCAGCGGACCUUCGGGUGCCGGCGAGUGGCGAACGGGUGAGUAAUAUAUCGGAACGUACCUUUCAGUGGGGGAUAACUACGCGAAAGCGUAGCUAAUACCGCAUACGCCCUGAGGGGGAAAGUGGGGGAUCUUAGGACCUCACGUGAUUGGAGUGGCCGAUGUCAGAUUAGCUAGUUGGUGAGGUAAAGGCUCACCAAGGCGACGAUCUGUAGCGGGUCUGAGAGGAUGAUCCGCCACACUGGGACUGAGACACGGCCCAGACUCCUACGGGAGGCAGCAGUGGGGAAUUUUGGACAAUGGGCGCAAGCCUGAUCCAGCCAUGCCGCGUGAGUGAAGAAGGCCUUCGGGUUGUAAAGCUCUUUCGCAAGGGAAGAAAACGGCAAGGUUAAUACCUUUGUCGGCUGACGGUACCUUGACAAGAAGCACCGGCUAACUACGUG